rnacentral:rRNA from 1 species
UACGUAGGGUGCAAGCGUUAAUCGGAAUUACUGGGCGUAAAGCGUGCGCAGGCGGUUUUGUAAGUCUGUCGUGAAAUCCCCGGGCUCAACCUGGGAAUUGCGAUGGAGACUGCAAGGCUAGAAUCUGGCAGAGGGGGGUAGAAUUCCACGUGUAGCAGUGAAAUGCGUAGAGAUGUGGAGGAACACCGAUGGCGAAGGCAGCCCCCUGGGGCAAGAUUGACGCUCAUGCACGAAAGCGUGGGGAGCAAACAGG